AUUGAACGCUGGCGGCAUGCUUUACACAUGCAAGUCGAACGGCAGCGCGGGCUUCGGCCUGGCGGCGAGUGGCGAACGGGUGAGUAAUGCAUCGGAACGUGCCCAGUAGUGGGGGAUAGCCCGGCGAAAGCCGGAUUAAUACCUCAUACGACCUGCGGGUUAAAGCUGGGGACCGAAAGGCCUCGCGCUAUUGGAGCGGCCGAUGUCGGAUUAGCUAGUUGGUGGGGUAAAGGCUUACCAAGGCGACGAUCCGUAGCUGGUCUGAGAGGACGACCAGCCACACUGGGACUGAGACACGGCCCAGACUCCUACGGGAGGCAGCAGUGGGGAAUUUUGGACAAUGGGGGCAACCCUGAUCCAGCCAUGCCGCGUGCGGGAAGAAGGCCUUCGGGUUGUAAACCGCUUUUGUUCGGGAAGAAAUCCUCUGGGCUAAUACCCCGGGGGGAUGACGGUACCGGAAGAAUAAGCACCGGCUAACUACGUG
rnacentral:rRNA from 1 species